rnacentral:sRNA from 1 species
AUUACCAGGCACGCGCAGGAAACAUGGCGGCGGCGGGUGUUGUGAGCGGGAAGAUUCGCUUGGUGACAGGUGGUGCUACUUCCUCAAAUCUUUGAUCUGUUCUUCCUUUUCUUUUUCUCAAGAUUAUAUAUGAACAAGAAGGAGUAUAUAUUCACUCAUCUUGUGGAAAGACCAAUGACCAAGACGGCUUGAUUUCAGGAAUAUUACGUGUUUUAGAAAAGGAUGCCGAAGUAAUAGUGGACUGGAGACCAUUGGAUGAUGCAUUAGAUUCCUCUAGUAUUCUCUAUGCUAGAAAGGACUCCAGUUCAGUUGUAGAAUGGACUCAGGCCCCAAAAGAAAGAGGUCAUCGAGGAUCAGAACAUCUGAACAGUUACGAAGCAGAAUGGGACAUGGUUAAUACAGUUUCAUUUAAAAGGAAACCACAUACCAAUGGAGAUCUCCACAGGAUAAAAGAACACUUCUUGUGAAUUGUCAGAGUAAGAGUCUUUCACAGUCUUUUGAAAAUCUUCUUGAUGAGCCAGCAUAUGGUUUAAUACAAGCAGGACUGCUAGACAGAAGAAAGCUGUUGUGGGCCAUUCACCACUGGAAAGUAA